AAAAAAAGAAACACAUCCCUCAAAAAAGAAAAAUAUAAGUGUUUAAAGGACAAAACUUUGCACAAUGGAAAGUAGUCUCUAUCAAUCUUCGAUCGUUGGAAUUCUAUGCGUCGCCUUAAUCCUAUGUGCCUCAGGUCCAGCAAUAUGUCUCGAACAAGGGGAACCAGAACAAUAUGGGCAACUACCAGAGUUAGGAGGUUGCAUAGGAGACUGCGUGCCAGAUUGCGACCAUCAAUGCAUUAUCCGUGGUUUCAAGAGAGGUGCUUGUUUGGGAUAUGCCGUGUGUUGUUGUGAGAAGAAAUGAUUACUCUGGGCCACUCUCAGUAGUGUUGCAAAAUAAGAGUUAAUGUUUAUUAUCUCCGUAGAUUGGAUAUUCAAUAAUGCAUGAAUUAUGAAAUUACAGUGAUCAUAUACA